ensembl:lncRNA
AGCGCGCGGUAGGCCGUGCUGGGACUCAGAGCCCGAAAACUGAUUUGAGGGGCGUCUUGACCGAAGACUGUGAAACUGCAUUGCAAACAGUGGUCUCAGCUACUAAGGAGUAACAAACAGCUCUUUCAUCUGGAAGAACUGUGUGCAAAGGAAGGAGUGAGGAGAGAAGGGACACCCGGAACCUGAAGAACCUGUGACUUGGAUGCACAGCCUCUAAGUAAUCCCAAGUGAACCGUGUGAACCUGCAGUCAGUGUCUAUGGCCACGAGGCAGAACACACAAACACCAGGCCUCAAGAUUCUCACCAAGAUCGUGUCAUGAGACAGGACCUCGCCGCCCAGCCCCCGCCUCCCAAUAACAGGAUUACGAGGCUCAGUGCGGUUACUGCUGGCACAGCGAGCCACAGAUGUAGCCAGGACUGGGUGCCAAUCGACGGAUUCCCAAUAUUGUCUUCCAGUUGCUAGACUACGCUGCUUUCCAGUACAUUAUUUGGAAUAUAAAAACUAAAAUGAGAACAAUGUGACCGAAGGCAAUUGAUGUGAACACAAGAAUCAACAACAUAGAGGAGACACAGUCCCAGGUGUAAAGAGGGGAGCUGUCUCUCCCUGUGGCCUCAACAGAAGGAGAGGGUUGUCAGCCUAGGAUGCAGACUCACUGUCUCAUCCUAAGGGUCGGUCCAACUGCCAUAGGAGAUUUCGGAACAACUGUCCUCACUUGAGGGUCGACAUGCUGUACAGUCCAUGGGGCCCGCUGGACAGUCGCAGUCCCAGAUCACUUCUCCUACUGGCUUUCCUCAGGAGCUCACACUACCCGUCUCAGCCCCAAGAUGUUCCUUGUGUCUGCUCCUGUUCCUGACUCAAACACGGGUUGUUUGCCAUCAGUUCUGUACCCUGUUUUAUCAACAUUGUUAUUGUCAUAUCUUAUAAUGUUUGUUUGUUUGUUUGUUUGUUUUUGAGACAGAGUCUGUCAUCCAGGCUGGAGUGCAGUGGUGGGAUCACAGCUCACUGCAGCCUCCAGCUCCCAGGCUCAGGUGAUCCUCACACCUCAGCCUCCCAAGUUAGCUGUAACUACAGGUGCACACCACCACCCUCAGCUGAUUUUUUUUGUAUUUUUUAUAGAGAUGGAGUUUUGCCAUGUUGCCCAGGCUGGUCUCGAACUCCUGAGCUCAAGCAGUCUGACCUUCCUGGUCUCCCAAAGUGCUGGGCUCACAGGCAUAAGACACCACACCCAACCUCAUUUUAUAAUCUUUUAAAAUUAUUUUUUCCCUUGAAUAUUCUUUGGAAAGUUUUUGAAGAUAUGGCUCUGACUUAGCGUGUUUUGUGCUGCUCUAACAGAAUGCCUGGGACUGGGUAAUUCAUAAUGAACAAAAAUUUAUUUCUCACAGUUCUGAAGGCUGAGAAAUCCAAGAUCAAGGCGCCAGCAUCUGGCGAGGGCCUAUUUACUGCAUCAUCCCAUGGCAGAAGGCGGAUGGGCAGGAGUGGGUGGGACAGAAAGACAGACCAAAGGGGGCUGAACUCAUUCCUUUAUAAGGAACCCACUCCUGAAAUAAUGGCAUUAAUCCAUCGUCCAUUAAACACCUCUGAAAGGUCCUGCCUCCCAACAUCUCUGUAUUGGGGAUCAAGUUUCCAGCAUAUGGAUGUUGAGGGACACAUUCAAACCAUAGCAGGCACUAAACCAAGGUCUUUCCUUCCCCCUCUCUGGCGUCUCUACCCACUGGGCACAGCUGCACUGGCCGCCCUGCUGAUGCCCAUCGACACCAGACACACACCCACCUCAGGAUCUUGGCACAUGCCCUUCCCUCCAGCUGAAACACUUGCCAGGCCAUCCCCACAGCUCCCUCCCUUCUUUUCCAUCUUGACUCACAUGCCCCCUCCCCUGGAUCUUGCAUGCAUGUUCUUCCACACGUGAUUCCCCCGGCUUCUAGCCCCAUCUGAAAUAGCACAUGUUACUUGUUCCUUAUCUGCCUCCCCCUCUAGAGUGCCAACUCUGCCUGGCAGGGAUUUUUGACUCUCGCCUACUGCCACAGCCUGGUGCCAGCACAGUGCCAGGCAUGUUCACCCUGCAGCAUUUACUGAGUGCCGUGCCCACUGCACACCAGGCCCUAGUCUUGGAUGCUUUUGCAAAUGUUUCUCCAGUGAUUGAAGAACUAAAAUUCUUUAAACUCAAA